GAUUUCUGGUUGGCCGUUCUAGCCCGCCUCUUUACGGAGGUGAGUGCCGGUGCGAGCUUACCAUCCUUCUAGAGAGCCGUGCCUACCGUUCACUCGGCCGGGCGCGUGCGAUCUAGAUCUUUUACUUUGAAAAAAUUAGAGUGUUUAAAGCAGGCUUAGGCUAUGAAUACAUUAGCAUGGAAUAAUAAUAUAGGACUUCAGUUCUAUUUUGUUGGUUUCUAGGAUUGAAGUAAUGAUUGAUAGGGAUAGUUGGGGGUGCUAGUAUUCAGUGGCCAGAGGUGAAAUUCUUGGAUUCACUGAAGACUAACUACUGCGAAAGCAUU
rnacentral:rRNA from 1 species